UACGAAGGGUGCUAGCGUUGUUCGGAAUCACUGGGCGUAAAGCGCGCGUAGGCGGCCAAUCAGGUCAGGGGUGAAAUGCCACGGCUCAACCGUGGAACUGCCUUUGAAACUGAUUGGCUGGAAGAUGAGAGGGGAUAGCGGAAUUUCUGGUGUAGCGGUGAAAUGCGCAGAUAUCAGGAGGAACACCGGUGGCGAAGGCGGUUCUCUGGGCAUUACCUGACGCUGAGGAGCGAAAGUGUGGGGAGCGAACAGG
rnacentral:rRNA from 1 species